AAUCUCUUCCACUUUCCUCCACCAAAUAUCUCCUAACUACAUCAAUGUAUAUACAUAUACAUAUAUGAGUUCGGCUACUAUACUCUUAUGAGUAUAGACUAUUUUAUAUUCAUAAAUAUUCAGCUGUUAGAUCUAUCUCUUUGAUCAUUUUUCAUCCGAUAAAUAAUGCUAUCCAACCGACCACUCACUCAACUCUAGAAAAUCAUUAUCAUUCUAACCUCAUAUCCCUUCAUCGAAUGGCAGAAAACUUAUGAAUAUAAAAGGUCUAUACUCAUAAGAGUGUAAUAAUUCUAGCCUACAUAUUCAUACAUAUAUACACACACAUGUAUUUAUGUGUUUUUAUAUAUAUACAUAUUCAUUUUAGAUAGAAAGAUUGAGAUUAAAUGUAUAUUAAUUAGUAUGCUUGGUAAGAAAAGAUCAUGUCGGAUUAUGUCAGCAAGCAUCAUAAUCGAGAUGCGUGCUUGCCAAUGUGAUUUAUCAUGAUUCCAACUUACUAAUCUCAACAAAAACUGAUGCAUCAAAAAGACAAUAUAUACUCAUUAUUAUGUGUUUUCGGAAGUACUCAAGCAAAACUCUCUCUCCACGCACACUUGGGAGUGUUAUGUAUAUAUAAACGUACAUGCUUUUGUAAAAGUUAUUUAUAUACUUGAACGAUCAAAAGAGUUUAUAAUUUUUUCUACGUGUAGCAGAAAACAUGCAGAAUAACGAUUUUAAGAAUAAAUAUAUACAGUAUUAUUUCUUUUUUC
rnacentral:lncRNA from 1 species